GUCGAGAAUAAUUCACAAUGGACGAAAGUCUGAUGGUGCAACGCCGCGUGGAGGAUGACGGUCUUCGGAUUGUAAACUCCUGUCAUCCGGGAGUAAGACCUGGCUGUGAAUAGCAGACAGGGUUGAUAGUACCGGAAGAGGAAGGGACGGCUAACUUCGUGCCAGCAGCCGCGGUAAUACGAAGGUCCCGAGCGUUGUUCGGAAUCACUGGGCGUAAAGGGAGCGUAGGCGGCGUGGUAAGUCAGAUGUGAAAUCCCGGGGCUCAACCCCGGAACUGCAUCCGAUACUGCCGUGCUAGAGGAGUGGAGAGGUAGCUGGAAUUCUUGGUGUAGCAGUGAAAUGCGUGGAGAUCAAGAGGAACACUCGUGGCGAAAGCGAGCUACUGGACAAUAUCUGACGCUGAGGCUCGAAGGCCAGGGUAGCGAAAGGGAUUAGAUACCCUUGUAGUCC
rnacentral:rRNA from 1 species